GUGGGGAAUUUUGGACAAUGGGCGCAAGCCUGAUCCAGCAAUGCCGCGUGCAGGAAGAAGGCCUUCGGGUUGUAAACUGCUUUUGUACGGAACGAGACGGUCCGGGUUAAUACCCUGGGCUAAUGACGGUACCGUAAGAAUAAGCACCGGCUAACUACGUGCCAGCAGCCGCGGUAAUACGUAGGGUGCGAGCGUUAAUCGGAAUUACUGGGCGUAAAGCGUGCGCAGGCGGUGCUGUAAGACAGGCGUGAAAUCCCCGGGCUCAACCUGGGAAUUGCGCUUGUGACUGCAGUGCUGGAGUGCGGCAGAGGGGGAUGGAAUUCCACGUGUAGCAGUGAAAUGCGUAGAUAUGCGGAGGAACACCGAUGGCGAAGGCAAUCCCCUGGGCCUGCACUGACGCUCAUGCACGAAAGCGUGGGGAGCAAACAGGAUUAGAUACCCGGGUAGUCC
rnacentral:rRNA from 1 species